ensembl:lncRNA
CUAAUUGAAUUUUCCAUAAAAUGCUCUCCUGAAGGCAAAAUGCAAACUGGUUAAUCAAAACCAAAUAGUUAAAAAGUGUGUAAAUUCAGUGCAUUGCCAAUUUAGCAAACUGGGUCAGCAAACCAUCUUGUUUCCUAGCCCUGAUUGGGUUCUUUCAGAUCUUAUUUUGAAAAUAAACUCAUAGUUCUUAUCAUUUGUUUUACAGAUAAGGAUACUAAAACGAGUAGUAAUUGUGAGUUAACUAAGGUCAUAGAGACACUUGACAAGAAUCCAAGAUUUCUAACAUCUGGUCUUAAUUUUUAAUUUUGUUAGAGGAUUCUAAUUUUAAAUGUCCUUUCCUAUAAAAACUAAAGGUUAUACUCCUCUGGUGGUCCAAACCACACUGUCUGCCUCAUCACUUUUUUCAUCAACUUUGUUGUCAAGAUACAGCGGAAAGACCAUUGCUCACAAGUGAGAAAAUUUCCACGUUGUUGAGAUUCUGUUGUUAACUAGUAGUUUUCUAUAGGUUAGUGUGAUGGUUAUCUACCUAUCAACCCUGCUGGAGCAGAAGUCUGCAUACUAAAUUCCACAGACUCUUUUGGCAGUAAAGCAUUAGAGAGAAAAGCAUAAGGGAAGUAUUAGAGGGAAAUGAGAAGGUGCAGAGAGGAGAGAAGAGACUUCUUUUCAGUUUUUGAUAGUGUGUUCCAGCAAGAGAAGACAGUUGCAGCUUUGUGAUCUGCCUUCUGUGGGACUUCUAGCACCAGCUUUGCUGCAGUUUCUCAGAGAGACAAAGACCAGGCAAUUAAAUCUCCUCAGUGGUUCCAAGCUCCAGCUUCAUAUCCCCGUCCCCCCAGUCAAGCUGUCUAAGCACCAACUGUGUAAAGGAUGAGUCUCCAAGCUCUUACUCUGUCUUCUACCAGCACUAAAGCUGUGUGUUGAGACUUCUCUGCUGGACUCUUGGACUUCCACAAAGAUGGCAAAAAUUCUCCAACAAAAAACACAAAAAGGCCUCCCUGCCAAGAUUGCAUCUAAGGCCUUCAAGGUGAUCAAUAUCUUAUCAGAGAAGUUGUUCCCAACAAACCCAAGAGCCUCAUUUCAACUUGGAUUGGACUUAGAUGGCAAGAUUUUGGACCUCAAGUUCUGGUUGAUGAGACUUUUGAGAAGUCUUAGAAAGGGAUUCAAAAUUAAAAUUUACUUUGCAUUUUAUGGGAUAGUUCAGUCUGCGAGUAUUAUAGGACUUUAAUUGACUAAAUGCCUCCCCUUUCUCAGAAGGCCAAACCACUUGCUUUGGAAAGAAGGAUCAUGAAAUAUAUGACGUGACUUUGCAUCACGUAAGAUGACAAGUUUUACAUCAUCUGGAUUCCUAAAUAUUUUUUUGUGGGAGAAAUGUGAAUAAUUUGUUGCCAGUGUGUAAUCUGUGACUGAUUUAUAACACAGCCUUUAAUUCUUUCAUACUCCUCCCAUCAAUAGAUGGGGAUCUUUCUUCUUUCCCCAAAAAUCUGGAUAGAUUUGUGGCUAUGGCAGGAGGGGCAUUAUUCAAUUUCUUUCUUGUUCUCUUGGUGCACACACAUUGACCAUGCUAUAAGGGAGCCAAGCAACCUACAUGAAGUGGUUGCGUGUACAUGUUCUAGGUGAUGACGACAGAGAAGAUUCCAGCUGACAGUCAGUGUCAACCACCAGACGUAGGGAAGAAGCUCCUGUAGUGACACCAGAGCCACCACCUACAGUAGCUGCAUGAGAUCCUAAGUCAAGAACCACCUAGCCGAGCCCAGUCAAUCAUCAGAACCGUGAGAAAUAAUAAUGAAAUAAACUAUUGCUGUUUUAAGCCACCAAGUUUUUGAGUUGUUAUGCAGCAAUAAUAACUAGAACACUAGAUGGUAGAUAAGACUUGAGCUUAAUUUAAAUAUGUUUUAAUAGCAAAAUAUGCUAAUUAUUCUUUACCAACAGUUUGCUUUUACCAAUAAUUUAUUUUAUUUUAAUAGAAUAUUAUUCUUCUUUGUAUAAGGGAGUCUUUGAUGAUAGAAUAUCAGGUAAUUACAGAAGUUAAUAAAAAUGGUUUUGGCAUGGUUGUUGAUCACCUUUGGAAAUCCAAGCCAUGUGGAACUUUGUCAUCUUACAUGUUGAUAAAUCAGUUCAUAUAUUGAAGGCUUCUUUGGAGGGUAAACUCUUAUAGUGAGGGGUGGGGGUUUACUCAGGGUGUUAUUAUGCUGCCAGGCUAAACUAUUCCAGAAUCUUUGAAUCUCUUUAUAUAUUUUGAAUCUCUUUAUAUACUAAAACAUACUGUGUUUAAAAAUGUUUCUUAGCAUUAUUAUUUUGACGCUUAGGUUCACUAGGAUAUUAUUUUCAGCAGUUGUUUAACUUGUCUCAUGUUUCUGAUAUAUCAGUUCUUUGGUUUUUCAGUUGUUUGAUCUCUGCCAAUUAAGAUGCCUAACUUCGCUUUGCUAGUGUGCUAGAAGGUCACCACUGCUUUGUGUUCAAAUAGCUCAUUCUGUAUUCCCUGAAACCUUUCCUUUCUUCUGUAAAUUGACUGUUAACAUGGAGUUUAUAAACCAUUUUAAUAACUAAAUCCACUGUUUAUCUUUGUGAAUUAAAUAUACUUUUAUGUGGGUAGAGAGGAUAGUAAGCUCCAGUUCAAAGAGGCUCAGGAUUUCACCUACAAAAUGUAUGUGGUUUUAAAACCUCAUUUAAGCUUUAUCUGGCAUUACAAGAGCUCAAAAUCCUAUACACUGUGUCAAGUAGAAAGUAAUGGAAUUUCAAUUUUGCUACAUAGAUUUCUUAGUGAUGCUUGAAGAGUUUGAUUUAACUAGAUAAAUGAAUUAAAGGGUUGAAAAAGCAAGUGCAAGGAAUGAAUUUUGUCUGUGUAUUUUGGGUUAUUUAAUAGAAACAUUUUGAUAGUAGUUAUAUACCUUUACUAGAGAUAGAAGAAGAAUUUGAUUUAAAUUCUGACAUGAUUCAUUAGAUACUGGAAAUAAUUUGCUGACAAGUAUUAAAUACAUUGGGAAUAAAGGUUGUGCAACAGCUUUCCCUGGAAGUUAGCAUUUUUGAUGGAAUUACACUGAUAAAAUCCUGAAUGGAAAGAACUGUAUAUGCUCAGAUAUCACUUAAGGAUUUCAACCAUUUUUGUUCAUAUUCCAUUGGAAAAUAUUUUGAAAUCUAUGCUUCCUUUUCCAUACAAUCAUGCCCUGUAUAAUUAUGACCUUUUGGUCAAUGAAGGGCCGUGUAGUCCCACAAGAUUAGUACCAUAUAGCUUAGAUGUGUGGUAGGCUAUGCCAUCUAGGUUUGUGUAAGUACACUCUAAGAUGUUGGCACAAUGAUGAAAUUGCCCAACAACGCAUUUCUCAGAAUGUCUCCAUCCUGAAGCCAUGCAUAACUGUACUUGUAAAUUUUCAUCUAAAAUUUUUCAUCAAAUUUAAAUAGUCCCAAGGGAUGUAAUUUUUGGCAUAUUGUAAAUGUUGACAUUUGAAAACAAAACUGUUACAUCACUUUUUAA